GAGGCACUCACGGCUAGGGUUUUGUGGUCGGAUGUGGGUGGGGUUAUUUAUACCCUUCACCUUUUAAUCUCAACUGUCCAUCUAGAUUAAAUCUGGACCGUCCGAUCACGAUUUAUUUGGGAUUAAAUCUGGGCCGUCCAUGGCGAUGUGAUUUGCGCCGUCUGUGCCUGAUUGAAUAUGGGCCGUCUGUACCCGUGAGAUCUGGACCAUCCGUGCGCACAUUUGAUCUGGGCUA
rnacentral:lncRNA from 1 species